rnacentral:rRNA from 1 species
GACGAACGCUGGCGGCGCGCUUAACACAUGCAAGUCGAGCGAGAACCGGGACUUCGGUCCCGGGGACAGCGGCGAACGGGUGAGUAACACGUGGGUAAUCUGCCCUCGAUUCUGGGAUAGCCCGGGGAAACCCGGAUUAAUACCGGAUAGCCUUUCGAGCCUUCGGGCGCGAAAGAAAAGGUAGCUUCGGCCUCCGAUCGAGGAUGAGCCCGCGGUGGAUUAGCUUGUUGGCGGGGUAAUGGCCCACCAAGGCGACGAUCCAUAGCUGGUCUGAGAGGACGAUCAGCCACACUGGGACUGAGACACGGCCCAGACUCCUACGGGAGGCAGCAGUGGGGAAUCUUGCGCAAUGGGCGAAAGCCUGACGCAGCGACGCCGCGUGGGGAAGAAGGCCUUAGGGUUGUAAACCCUUUCAGGUGGGACGAAGCCACUCGGGUGAAUAGCCCAGAGGGUGACGGUACCGCCAGAAG